GGAGCGGCGGGAUGCGGCAGUGCCGGGCCGCGGGGCUGGCGGGGCUGGCCGCGGUGCUCCUGGCGACUGUGAGCAGAGCUCAGGUGCAGCAGGAGCCGUCCGUAGAGACCACCGAGGGCACAGGCAUCAACAUCACCUGCUCACACCCCAGCAUACAGACCGGCUAUUACAUCUACUGGUAUCGACAACUCCCGGGCCGAGGACCCGCAUUCCUCGUCAGCACUAUUACAGGCUCCAAGCAGGUGCCGGACCCGGAGGGGCAGCUGUCGGUGUCGGCAGAUCGCCGCUCCAGCGCCCUGUGGCUCGCCCGGCCCCGGCUCGGCGACGCGGCCGUGUAUUACUGCGCCGUGGGCGCACGGGGAGCGAAGCCGGGGCUGCGGCCGGGCACGAACCGCUUUGGGCGGGGCGGGGGCACAGUGCCGUCCGGGCCCGCAGGGGGCGCUGCCUGCAUGGCCACCAAACUCCAUCCUGACCAGGGCGCAUUUCCCUGAGUUUUCGAGAAAAAUGAGCACGGGACCCAAAGCAGCCAUUGACUGAAGCCAAUGUGAGUCAGACGCAGCUGGGUCUGUGUCAGGACUGCACACCAUGUGAUUGUGGGGAACAGCAGGACUGACUGCAUGGGCUGUGUUUGACACCUGAGGGAGAUUCUCACAAUUCUAUUC